UAUGUAUGUAUGUGUGUGAGGAGAGAGAGAGCAUUGAUAUGUUGCGAUAUGUUUCAAUGAAACAGACAGCAAUCUCAACUAAAGGCGACCGACAACAGU